CAGGAUUAUAAUUGUUCAUUCCAUUCUUAAUAAGCCAAGGACUAACACAGAAGACAACACAGGAGAAAGAAAACCAGGCCUUAAGGAUCAGAUAAAGAGUCACGUGUUUGAAACCAAGUUCUGCUUAAACAAGGAAGAACUUGAGAGCAAAAAGGCGAGAGCUCAGCAUUUCCUCAAUGAAA